rnacentral:rRNA from 1 species
UACGGAGGAGGCAAGCGUUAUCCGGAAUUAUUGGGCGUAAAGCGUCCGCAGGUGGCACUUCAAGUCUGUCGUCAAAGACUGGGGCUUAACCCCGGAAAGGCGGUGGAAACUGAAGCGCUAGAGUGCGGUAGGGGUAGAGGGAAUUCCCGGUGUAGCGGUGAAAUGCGUAGAGAUCGGGAAGAACAUCGGUGGCGAAAGCGCUCUACUGGACCGCAACUGACACUCAGGGACGAAAGCUAGGGGAGCGAAUAGG